rnacentral:rRNA from 1 species
UACGUAGGGGCCGAGCGUUGUCCGGAGUUAUUGGGCGUAAAGCGCGCGCAGGCGGCUUCGCGCGCCCCGACGUGAAAGCCCCCCGGCUUAACCGGGGAGAGUCGUUGGGGACGGCGGAGCUUGAGGGCGGGAGAGGUCGGUGGAAUUCCCGGUGUAGUGGUGAAAUGCGUAGAGAUCGGGAGGAACACCGGUGGCGAAGGCGGCAUCCUGGACCGACACUGACGCUGAGGAGCGAAAGCCAGGGGAGCAAACAGGG